AUAGUGGCCUUAUUUGUGAUAGCCAGAAGCUGAAAACAACCUAGAUGUCCCACGACCGAAAAAUGGAUACAGAAAAUGUGGUCAUUUCCACAUGGAAUACUACUUGGCUAUUAAGAAUGAGGACAUCCUGAGUUUUGCAGGCAAAUAGAUGGAACUAGAAAAUAUCAUCCUGAGUGAGGUUCAAGAAUACAGCCUAUCUUAUGCUACCAUAAUUUAGAAUACAGGAGAUGGCUAACCCAUGGGACUUGGAAAAUCCAGGAUUAACUAGUUAAACUGUCCAGAAAGCUCUGAUCUCAGCUGUUCACUGAACAGAACAGAUUGCCUCCCAAGUGCUUCUCAGCCAUUCGGUAUUCCUCAGAUGUGAGAGAGCCAUAAGCAAAGACAAGUCUGGCUUGAGUAGAAGUCUUGUAUCAUUCACUGAAGAAAGGAGUAAACAACUGAGGAAGAUCAUGGCACCCAUUGGCAUCCACAUGUAUCUGAAAAGAAGUCCAUGUGCCCUCCCUGCAUGCAUGUGAAAACGUACAUGCGUGCACAACACAGAUGCAGAAUGACUUUCUAGUAUUGCAUCAAGCUAUUGGACUAUGAUUAGCUGCGAUGUUAAUUUCGGGUAAAGUGAUGCUUCUGCAUCAUCUUCCUCAGAAGAAAGAAUGAUCAGUUGUACUGCACUGGUGAUGACCAAUGGAUAGAGCAUCCGCAGCCUGUUUCCCAGUCAUCUACUGAACAGGAAGAGUGAUGGGUGUAGUCAUGUCUCAUCAAAUCCUAUAGUUUAGUUUUCUUAAUGGAACUGUAGUUUCACUGAAAUGUAAACUGAAGAGCUGCUCAGGACAGUUUAUGUACAUCUUAGUUGACUAAGUUUCACUUUGGACAAUGCCACCAAAAGAGCAUUCUAGAUGUUCAUAAAUAAAUAAAUAAAGAUAAAUAGAUCCAU
rnacentral:lncRNA from 1 species